GUCUAUGGCCAUGCCACCCUGAAUAAACCUGAUCCCAUCUGAUCUUGGAAGCUAAGCAGGGUCGGGCCUGGUUAUUAUUUGGAGGGGAGACCACCUAGGAAGACUGGGUGCUGUAGGAA
rnacentral:rRNA from 1 species